rnacentral:lncRNA from 1 species
AAUUUGGUAAAAUAUUCAUUUAUAGAAUUGUUACCCUGAAUGGGCAAAAAUCACAAUUAUUGAAGUAUUGAAUAGGUGGCAAGAAAUGGAUGGCCAAGAUUGCACUGUCUGAAGCCGAUUCAAUGGCUCACAACUCAAAUCCAUUUAAAUGGCUUAGAUUAGAUCUAAUGAGAUUGAAUGGUUGGGAAAUUUGAUAUUUACAAAAACCAAUUUAGGGUUUCUUUUAUUUUGAAGAAGAAGAGCCAACAUUGAGAGAGAGAACACUAAAAUCAAAAGAGAGAGAGAGAGAGAGAG